AAGCUCUCAUUCAUCUUCAGGCGCAAGCGCCUCUUCGACGGAGAAAAAAAAAAAAAGAGGAGAAGAGAAGGCACACCGCACACUCGACAAGAUACACGCAUGUCUACUCCAAGAAUUCUGCUCUGUGGCGACGUUCUUGGCCGCCUCAACCAGCUCUUCAAGCGUGUCUCAUCGGUCAACAAAUCGGCGGGCCCUUUCGAUGCGCUGCUUUGCGUGGGACAGUUCUUUCCAGACUCGCCGGACCGGCUGGACGAGCUCAUGGACUACAUCGAAGGCCGGUCCCAAGUGCCUCUACCCACCUACUUCAUCGGUGACUUCGGUGUCGGCGCGGCUAAGCCCCUAUUAGCGGCUUCCAAGGACUUGGCUAACCGAGGGUUCAAGAUGGACGGCCUUAAGCUUUGCGAGAAUCUGUUCUGGUUGAAAGGCAGUGGCAAGUUUACUCUCCAUGGUUUAUCUGUGGCAUAUUUAUCUGGUAAGCGUUUGUCAGAUGGUCAACAGUUUGGAACGUUUACUCAGGAUGAUGUGGACGUGUUGCGAGCUAUAGCUGAGGAACCUGGAAUAGUAGACUUGUUCCUAACUAAUGAAUGGCCAAGCGGAGUUACAAAUAGAGCAGCCACAUCUGAUCUUCCCCAUGGAUUCUCAGAUUCAUUUGGUGGCGAGUCAAUCAUCGCAGAACUAGUAGCAGAGAUAAAACCACGCUAUCACAUUGCUGGUACUAAAGGCAUAUUCUAUGCUCGUGAACCUUACUCUAACGUGGAUGCUGUGCAUGUGACCCGCUUCUUGGGUCUUGCUUCUGUUGGGAAUAAAGAUAAACAGAAAUUUAUUCAUGCGAUUUCUCCAACUCCAGCCUCUACCAUGUCAGCCGUUGAGCUUAGCAUGAAGUCCUCAAACACUACAUUGUCUCCAUAUGCAUAUUCAGAGCAUUCAAUUCAAGCCAAUGAAGCCCCAAAAAGGCCUAGUGAUAGUGUUUAUGACUUGCAAUACUGGAGAUAUGAUGUCUCUCAAAAACGGCAGAAAUCUGGAGCUGGAGACAGCGAGAAGCUAUGUUUUAAAUUUAUAUCUUCUGGGUCUUGUUCACGAGGGGAAAAAUGCAACUUUCAACAUGAUAGUGCUGCAAGGGAACAAUAUCUGAGAGGUGUUUGUUUUGAUUUUAUUAACAAAGGGAAAUGUGAAAGGGGUCCAAAUUGCAACUUCAAGCACAGUUUGCAGGAUGAAGGUGAUUCUCAUAGGAAACAAGGAUCUGAAAAUGCUAGCGCUAACAGGUCAAAGGAGUGCUGGUUUUGUUUGUCAAGUCCCAAUAUAGAGUCACAUUUAAUCGUCAGCAUAGGAGAGCAUUCCUAUUGUGCACUGGCCAAAGGUCCCCUUGUUCAAGACCAUGUUCUAAUAAUACCUAUCGAGCAUUUGCCUAAUACCAUUUUGCUACCCCCAGAAUGCGAAAGUGAGGUUCAUAGAUUCCAGAAUAGUCUCAAUAAGUAUUAUAAGCUUCGAGGGAAAUCAGUUGUUUUCUUUGAGUGGGUUUCGAAACGUAGUACUCAUGCUAAUCUUCAGGCUAUUCCUAUUCCAUCAUCCAGGGUGACUGCUGUUCAAGACAUAUUUAACUUAGCUGCUGAAAAGUUGGGCUUUAAAUUUGUGGCCUUGAAAAGGGAUGAAAAUUCCAGUGGAAGAAAAUUGUUGAGGACGCAGUUCGAUAAGGAUUUUAGCUUCUUCUAUGUUGAACUCCCUGAUGGCAAAAUAUUGUCACAUUUGGUUGACGAAAAAGAUAGAUUUCCUGCUCAAUUUGGACGCGAGGUUUUGGCAGGUUUGCUGAACAUGGCAGAUAGGGCCGAUUGGAGGAAUUGUGCACAUAGCAAAGAAGAGGAAACAAAGAUGGCAGAAGAUUUCAAGAGGGGAUUUCAAGAAUUUGAUCCAAAUAAGUGAUUUCCCAGUAACAGAAGCCAGAACUGAGACAGAAUCCAUUGUAUUGUAAUUGCCAUUUACCUCUAAGAUUCUUUCUAAGUUUGUGGCAGAUGUUAUCUGCCUGCCUUAAAAAGUGCGAAGGGGGUUUUUGUGCCUACACGGAAGAACACACCUGCGUAAACGCACACUGCCCCUUGCAAUCAAGUGGUGUCAAGAGAUUUGACUUAGAUGACCGAAAUUAUUGCACCAAGGUUUCUGCUUUGUCCGGCGGGGCUCCACCAGAAAGAUGUCCCAAUGUUCACACCUGCAGGGUCAUGGGAAUCAUUAUGAUACCUAUCUCAUGAUAGGUUCCUUGAGGGUUAGGUUUGGUGGGAGCUCAGACCCAAAAGAAACGAGAUUUAGAAAAAAGAAAAAAGAAAAAGAAAAAGGAAUUGGUUUGGUAGGAACCAACCUAUCAAGCUAUGGGGAAGAUUCAUCCAAAGGACGUCUCUUUUCAGCCUUAACAAAGGCAUUUAAAAAAUAAAAAAUAAAAAGGAAUAGUAAGAAGAAGGAAGCCAUAUGAUGGAGCCGAAGUGCCAAUUAUUUGCAUAUUUGCGCGUGGCUUGACAGAAGGGGUUGCAAACUUUGUUGGGAUGGUCCCUUGCCUCGUUAAUUAAGGUUUUUUCUCUUUCUCGGGCAGGCGGGUAGAUCAGUGGCCUUUGCCCUUGGUUGUUGGUUCUCUAUUACAGUAAAAACUACAUGUGAAAAGCUUUAAUAUUUUCAUCAGCUAAUGACCAAGAUAAUGCGUGUUAGAAUACUACCCAAAAUGAUAACUCACUUAAAUUUUUUUGCCUGAUGAUAAAAGGGAUAAAAUUGGAAGGGGAGAAAUGUGGCUGCACGAAAUAUCCUUCAGUCUAUUCUAGAGGACUCUCUUGUCUCAUAUCUCACGUGCUCACCGAUAACCAACUUUUUUUUUUCAAUUUGUGGGGCUGCCCAUGUGAGACAAGUAUAAGAUUCUAACUCCUCAAUCCAAUGGUCCACCAUAAAUCUCCAUAGGAGGUUUUAAUUUUUUUCUUUUUUUUUAAUCUUAAUUUUGUGGUUUGUCCAUGUCCACGUGAUGUUUCUUCAUUGUCGGAUUUGAUUAGAUGACAAAAGAAAGACAUUCACGGAUGGGCUUUGCUGUAAUAUCCUUUAAAAAAAAAAAAAAAAUCAUGGUGUUACUUUUACUUGUACUCAGUUUUCCUAUUAAGUGAUGAGCCCCCAAAGAGUUAUUUUGCCGAGAAAAUAAAUCAUUGUAGGAGUUAGAUACAUGAAUGGCCUUAGCUAGUGCGCCUCGCUUUGUAAUCCAACAUCUUUUAUCGUUUUUUAUGAGUGGCUAAUAACAGCUCUGUUCUUUUUGGAGCAAUUGAGUAAAAAAAUACAAUGUUCCGUGUGGGAGUAGAGAAUCGAGAUGGCUGAUGCUGAUUGCUAAACCAUACUAUCCAUAUAUGUUAGAAGAUGCUUACCAUGAGAUGUUAUUUUUUUAUUUCUUAAGAAGUUUUUUUUUUAAAAAAAAAAAAAAAAAAAAAAAUUGAAUUCAAGAAGUUGAAAUACCUAAAUCAUGAAAGAUCAGAAGGUGAUGGGUCGGAGUCCAGGUUUUUGACAUAUGCCAUGACACAUCUUCAUCGUCGCUAUCUUCAGAAUGGCCAACCGAAACAACUGAAAACCAGCAAGUAAAAUGGGACAAGCAAUUCCCACUAAACAAAAUCAAAGGUUGGAUUAGAGGUUUUGAUAGCUGGUGUUCUAUCCGAUGGGGAUGGGGAUGCCAGCCAUUCUCCAGCUGCUGAAACUCUGUGUCAUUGGCUGUGCUUUGGUUGUGCAAGGAUCUACAGACUCCAAUAUAUCCCCAUCUCCAGCAACUUUUUCUUCUUCGCCUCCAAUAGAAGGAACACCCGGUCCUGAUCAUCCUAGAAAGUCGUGGAGAAGCAGUGCGCCAAGCUCAUUGUUGCAGCCGAAUGGUAAUUAUUCUAACCCUGGCACUAUAGAAUGUUAAUUGAUCAUGAGGCCAUCUACAUAAGCUGCUAGUUUGGAAAAAACAGGGUCAGAUUCUCAUCACCCUCAACUUGUAUUACCACCUCCUACAUCGGCCCCAGUGCCCCAAAUGAUCCAAUGGCUUGUACCAUCCUUGCCAACAAAUACUCCAACUGUAUCACCAUCAUAUAGGACAGCUCCCCCACCUUUGAAUGUCCUAGGACAUGUACCAUCCAUGCCACCUAGUGCUCCUCAGGGGAAGAUACCAGUUAAUAAGACUCCUGUUGCAAUGCCAGUUGCUGCUCCAGCAACUCCUACACAGAAUCUUUCUCAUAAUUCACCAAGUGCUUCUCAAAGGAAGGCACCAGUUAAUAAGAUUCCUGCCUCAUUGCCAGUCACUGCUCCAGCUCCAGUAGCAGCUCCUUCGCAGAAUUUGCCUCAGCAUGCGCCAAGUGGUCCUGAAAAGAAGACACCAGUUACUAAGGCUCCUAUCUCAAAACCAAUCA